rnacentral:lncRNA from 1 species
AAUUAUCCACGCGCCGUGGCAGAAUGUGAGAUAAAGGCAAUGAUUUCUUAUCCCAAGGACACGGUCAAGCAGCCCUUGCCAAGCCUACAGAGAACUGCUGGCCUGAAGGUGAACAGGAGUAUUUCCAUGGAGAUGUUUUCCACAGAAACAGGAGUAGUGCCCCCAUGGCCAGGAAGCAGAACAGAGAUGUUUCACAGGAGAUGAAGCCCAUCCAGAGAAUCUAGCUGGAAAGAAACUGUAGCUCUGGAGUCUCACAUCUCCAUUUGAAGCCCAUCACAGGAGCAGGAGAGAUGUUUGUUAUCUUUGCCUGGUGGCGCCAGCAGUUGAGCAAGAGGAGUGGGAGGCUGGCUGCUGGUUCCUGUACCCGUGCCAUCAGGAGCUCCCACCUCAUCCCGCUGGGUGGGGGACUCAGGCUCGGUAGCAUUCCCGCCAUGAGUGAAAUGGAAAAACCCUUCUGGGCUGCUCUGCCUGCAGAGAUGCUGUGAAAGCUCUGUGAGUCACUUGGGGAAGCCCAGGGUGCAGCCAGGCUCCAGAGAAAGUCCAGAUGCACUUCAUCCCAUCCCUGAGAGUCACUGGAACACAGUUUGGUGUGGGGGUAGGUAUUCUGAGAGUGUUUGCCCACAACACCUCAGGGUGUCAACCACACAUGGCCCA